rnacentral:misc_RNA from 1 species
UCCGGUUUGUCACCGGCAGUCACCUUAGAGUGCCCAACUGAAUGCUGGCAACUAAGAUCAAGGGUUGCGCUCGUUGCGGGACUUAACACAACAUCUCACGACACGAGCUGACGACAACCAUGCACCACCUGUCACUCUGUCCCCCGAAGGGGAAAGCCCUAUCUCUAGGGUUGUCAGAGGAUGUCAAGACCUGGUAAGGUUCAUCGCGUUGCUUCGAAUUAAACCACAUGCUCCACCGCUUGUGCGGGCCCCCGUCAAUUCCUUUGAGUUUCAGCCUUGCGGCCGUACUCCCCAGGCGGAGUGCUUAAUGCGUUAGCUGCGUCACCGAACGGCAUGCCGUCCGACACUUAGUAUUCAUAGUUUAAGGCGUGGACUAC